rnacentral:rRNA from 1 species
CGUAGGGGGCAAGCGUUGUCCGAAUUUAUUGGGCGUAAAGAGCGUGUAGGCGGCCAGGUAGGUCCGUUGUGAAAACUGGAGGCUUAACCUCCAGCUGUCGAUGGAAACCAUCUGGCUAGAGUCCGGAAGAGGAGAGUGGAAUUCCUGGUGUAGCGGUGAAAUGCGCAGAUAUCAGGAAGAACACCCGUGGCGAAGGCGGCUCUCUGGGACGGUACUGACGCUGAGACGCGAAAGCGUGGGGAGCGAACAGG